CAGCCGCCGCGGUAAUACCGGCGGCCCGAGUGGCGGUCACUAUUAUUGGGCUUAAAGCGUCCGUAGCCGGGGUGGGAAGGCCUCCGGGAAAUCUGGCCGCUUAACGGUCAGAAUGCCGGAGGAUACUCCCAGCCUAGGGAGCGGGAGAGGCCGAGGGUAUUCCCGGAGUAGGGGGGAAAUCCUAUAAUCCCGGGAGGACCACCUGUGGCGAAGGCGCUCGGCUGGAACGCGUCCGACGGUGAGGGACGAAGGCCAGGGGAGCAAACCGGAUUAGAUACCCGGGUAGUCCUGGCUGUAAACGAUGCGGACUUUGUGUCGGACAAGCUAUGAGCUUGUCCGGUGCCGGAGGGAAACCGUUAAGUCCGCCGCCUGGGGAGUACGGCCGCAAGGCUGAAACUUAAAGGAAUUGGCGGG
rnacentral:rRNA from 1 species